rnacentral:rRNA from 1 species
GACGAACGCUGGCGGCGUGCUUAACACAUGCAAGUCGAACGAUGAAGCCCAGCUUGCUGGGUGGAAGAGUGGCGAACGGGUGAGUAACACGUGAGUAACCUGCCCCGGACUCUGGGAUAAGCGCUGGAAACGGCGUCUAAUACUGGAUACGACCCAUACCGGCAUCGGUAGUGGGUGGAAAGAUUUAUCGGUCUGGGAUGGGCUCGCGGCCUAUCAGCUGGAUGGUGAGGUAACGGCUCACCAUGGCGACGACGGGUAGCCGGCCUGAGGGGGUGACCGGCCACACUGGGACUGGGACACGGCCCAGACUCCUACGGGAGGCAGCAGUGGGGAAUAUUGCACAAUGGGCGAAAGCCUGAUGCAGCAACGCCGCGUGAGGGAUGACGGCCUUCGGGUUGUAAACCUCUUUUAGUAGGGAAGAAGCGAAAGUGACGGUACCUGCAGAAAAAGCACCGGCUAACUACGUGCCAGCCGCCGCCGUAAUAC